UACGUAGGGGGCAAGCGUUGUCCGGAAUCAUUGGGCGUAAAGAGCGUGUAGGCGGCCAGAAAAGUCCGCUGUGAAAACUCGAGGCUCAACUUCGAGCUGUCGGUGGAAACUUUCUGGCUAGAGUCCGGAAGAGGAGAAUGGAAUUCCUGGUGUAGCGGUGAAAUGCGCAGAUAUCAGGAAGAACACCCGUGGCGAAGGCGGUUCUCUGGGACGGUACUGACGCUGAGACGUGAAAGCGUGGGGAGCGAACAGG
rnacentral:rRNA from 1 species